rnacentral:rRNA from 1 species
AAUCAACGCUGGCGGCGUGCCUAACACAUGCAAGUCGAACGAGAAAACGGGGGCAACUCCGUGAGUAAAGUGGCGACCGGGUGAGUAACACGUGACUAACCUGCCCUUGAGUGGGGGAUAACCUCGGGAAACCGGGGCUAAUACCGCAUAACAUCCUCGGGAUGAGAAGCUGAGGAUCAAAGGAGCAAUUCGCUUAAGGAGGGGGUCGCGGCUGAUUAGCUAGUUGGCGGGGUAACGGCCCACCAAGGCGAUGAUCGGUAGCCGGCCUGAGAGGGCGCACGGCCACACUGGAACUGAAACACGGUCCAGACUCCUACGGGAGGCAGCAGUGGGGAAUUUUGCGCAAUGGGGGAAACCCUGACGCAGCAACGCCGCGUGGAGGAUGAAGUCCCUUGGGACGUAAACUCCUUUCGACCGGGACGAUUAUGACGGUACCGGUGGAAGAAGCCCCGGCUAACUCUGUGCCAGCAGCCGCCGUAAGAC